AGCAGCAGCCACGGUAAUACAGAGGGUGCGAGCGUUAAUCGGAUUUACUGGGCGUAAAGCGUGCGUAGGCGGCUUCUUAAGUCGGAUGUGAAAUCCCUGAGCUUAACUUAGGAAUUGCAUUCGAUACUGGGAAGCUAGAGUAUGGGAGAGGAUGGUAGAAUUCCAGGUGUAGCGGUGAAAUGCGUAGAGAUCUGGAGGAAUACCGAUGGCGAAGGCAGCCAUCUGGCCUAAUACUGACGCUGAGGUACGAAAGCAUGGGGAGCAAACAGGAUUAGAUACCCGUGUAGUCCCUGUCUCUUAUAC
rnacentral:rRNA from 1 species